AAUUCUUGUCCACCCUCCCCCAAUAUCUUCACCCAAAACCGCACCUUUACGCCACUCUGUCACCACUUUCAUCACUGUAUAUAUGUCGGCUUUGAACUUGGAAGCUCUUUUAAUGGCGAUGAAGCUGAUGGAUGAUCUAUUGAUCUUCCCAGGGCUCACUGCUCCUGCUAGUUCUUAUCUUGAAGAGCUUGAUUGGCAGUAUGUUUCCGGUCUGGGUCUGGUUCUCUUGGAGAGAGAUGAAUUCUGCUAAUAAUGCUUAUUGCUGGAUGAUGAUGGAAAACUACAGGGUCCAGUUCUCUUGGCUGGUUCAAACAAUAUAAUGAAUCUUGGUUUCAAGGUCUUGAUUAUGGCCUUGGUUCCUGCUAUGCUGCUUACUACCAUCUAGGUGCCCGCCUUUCUCCUCGUUGUUUGAGUGACAAGGGAAACUCAUAACCACUAUCCGAGGAUGUGGGUUGGGUAAAUCCAAUUUUGUAACCCUAGCAGGUAAAGGACCAGAACCUAAGUUGCCCGUAACUAGCUCAAAUCAAGAAGGCCUACUGAGGUCGACCUUUCUCCUCUUUUUGAAGUUAUAGAAUGUGGUUCCAAGAUGGGUUCUUUUCAUUCUUUCUCUGCAUACUCAAAGGCAUGUAUGGUGAGCAUUCGGAACCACAAGAUGGGUUCUUUUUUUUUCGGUGACGUGGGAAACCAACAGCUAUUACCCGAAAGUGUGUAAAUCCCGUCUUGUGACCCUAGUCGACAAAAAAUCUCCUUCCCAUUGGUCCCUCUACACUUGCAGUUAAGGAAGCAGCAUGGGGUGGUCUUGCUCACUAUGCUGCCACUUCCCAGUUCCCAAAUGACUUUGAAUACAAUAAAACAUCAUAAGAAUAAACUGUUUCUUAUUCUAGUCAAAUGAGAGUCAGCUAGAGCUUUUGUGUCUAUUAUUGUAGGACAAUGGUUUAUCCCCCAUCCUGGAGCCUUGUAUAUUAUGAUGAGCAUGGAAUUCCAGGGCCUUCAAGGUCGCUCAAAUGGCGUUGAACAAUGUCUUCUUUGAAGGCAUCCUCUUGAAUACUAGCAUGGUUACUCUUGAAGAUGAGGGCAAAGACAAGGUCUGUAAAACUCACUUCCAAUCUGAUUAACAAUUUCUUAUCUUUUCUUUUAUGGUGAGUAGUUUUGUUUCGUGAACUAGUUGUUUACUUUUCUUCGGUUAUUCCAUUUUUUUACUUAUUCUGCCUGCUUAGUUCCUGGGUUGGAGUCGAAACAUGCUCCUAAAGUAAUGUUUUUGUGACAAUUUAUACCCCUACAUGAAGCUCUAUUGUAAGUAUUAAGUAUUCUAUGUAUUUAGGGGUGUAAAUGAACCAAACUUAUUCAAAAUCUGCUUAACUGACAUUAAAAAUGAUUGACUUUGGCUCAUUGGUGAAUUGGACUUUGAACAUUGUAUUU